AGGCAAAAGCAAUGCAGUGACAAGGCCUGCAGUUCCUCCUCCGCUUCUGCUGUCGCUGACCAUGAAACUUCAGCCUCUGCCCUGUUAAUGUAUUGUGGCUGAACUUGCUGCCAACGGGUCAAAGGGAACAUAAUUUACUCGGGCUUUGAUGCAUUUGAUACAGUUUGGGGUGAAAAGGGAGAGGGGGAGGACAGGAGACGAAGGGAAUAAGCAGUGGCAGGGAAGGAAAGAGGUUGACUGUUUGCAUGGGAACUGGAUUAGUAGGAAGAUGACAGAGCCAUUUUCUAGCCAAGAGGGAUUUAGCGAUAACCAAGAGGGUUUUGACUGGAGUGGGGGCUCCCUGUGCUCAGAUCAGUGUGUGGGUAGGAGGCAGCCUAAGCGUUUGUCUGCAGGGCACUUUUUAUCUCUUUCCCUGAUUAGGAGAUUGGGCAAGGGGAGGGAGGUGUUUGUAUUCUGUAUUGCCUGAAGAGUCCUUAUACUGCUCAGGCAGGACCAUGGCAUGGUCACAGUUCCCUUCCUGGCAGCUAGCUCUCAUCGUGUUUGCAUCUCCUUAACACUCUCCUCAUCUUAGACCCUUUACCAGCUGCAUCAUGAAGCCUCCCUCCCUAUUUUCCUGCUGGAAGGAAGCUAUAAGGCAUGGAACAGGGGCGAAGAGGCCGGGAGGAAGCGAAGCAAUGUGGCUGCUGUGGUUUCAGUUCUCACUCCACCUCGCUACUGAGAAACUGGACCUGUGGUUUGGUUUGUGGGGGGGGAAAGAGGAAUGGUCCUUGGAUCCAAUCCCCACUGGGAAGGCUCUCUCAGUCCCACAGACACACCAGCAACACUGAUGGGGACUGGAGGAAGAGGAGAGAAAACCAGCCCCGAUAAACCCCACUCCAGCAGCUCCUGGUGCAUUAAUAUUCACCACAGAGCGAGGGGUGUAAAUUCACUGCUAUCUCCUCA